CACAUACACAUACACACACACACAGUUUAUAUGAUGUCUAUCAGUAUAUGUUUAUGUCCACCUUAAAAAUAUUCACCCCACCGGGUGGGGACUGCACCUAAAUCUUGUAAAUCUCUUCUAAAGAGAUCUUCGUGGUGGCCUGACUGAUAAAGGGACUCUGGCUAAGAUGCUGUAGGCUUCAUACUGGAGCGUCUCCAUUAGAGCCUCAGCCCGGCUCCCACUUCCAGCUUCCUGCUCAUACACACCCCGGGUGGCAGCACCCACGUGGAAGACCUGGACUGAGUUCCCAACUCCAGACGACACUUGGCCCAGCCCUGGCUGCCGCAGGCACCUGGGGAGUGGACUGGCAUAGCUGGGCGAUUUUCAUCUCCAACUCUCGAAAAUCCUACCUAGGAAAACGAUCUUUCCUCAUGAGAGGGUGGGCCUGGUUCGCUCGCGCUGUACUGUACAAUUAUCUACGUCGUCAUGUUUUCAUUUGAAUUAGAAGUGAAUUAUUCAGUUGUGGGCUGGAGGAGGACGUUUUGGGCUCACUGAAUGAGCUGCUGGCAGGAAGGGUGACAGAGGCACGGCUGAGCGAGGGGCUGGUACUGCGAGAGACAGUUCCCCACCCAUCUGGCUCUGAGAAGAAAUCCGUACCCACAGAAACGCGGCGCUGGGAGUGCCCCAGCAGAGGCGGCCACGAGGCCGCGGGACCUCGCGUGAUGAACCAGCUGGAGCACAGGUCCGUGGCAGCGAGGGCCCUCGAGUGCUGACCGCCCCCGGGGAUGCCUGUGUCUCCUCGCGUGUUCCUGUCUCGACCAGGUCCGUAGCUGCGGUGCCUGAUGAAGCACAGGGACUCGAAGACCAGAAGUCCAAAGCCUCCUGUGGUUCACGGUGUUUUAUCUGAGAAGCUCUGGACGUGCAGAUGUUUGAGAACUGAACAACGUGGUUAUUUCAGUAAAACCAGCCGACGCCAUGGCCAUGUUGUGGUCCAUAGCUCUUGGCCUGCAGUGUGAACUACAGUCUCUUGGGGCUCCGCUUCCAGGCGCCCCAGUGCUGACACUCUGCACCUGGCCGUGUGCAGUGACUCUCCAGGGCAGUCAGCGACUUAGAUGGCGGAGGGAACACAGCAAGCGCCACACAGAGCCUUCUACCCGAAGAGGGUCCAGUCCCAGCAGGAGCCAUUUCCCUGCGAAGGCCUCCUGGAAGUCAUGCAGACGGCACAGUGGGUGCCCUGGUCCUCUGUGCCGUGUGCACACAUGGAAACUGGGUGUUGGUGGGGAGAAGACGGGUCCUGGGAAGCAUCUGUACCCAGCAUGACAGUUCCGGCAGGUCAGGGAGGGGCGGACGGCAUGUGGGCCAGCCUGAGUGCCCUGUGCGCCGCCGCCUCACCUGUCACAGCUGUGCUCCUCCAACCGCGCAUCCUGUGAGGUGCGGGGAGCAGAGGGUGUGGAAACCCGAGGGGCCCCUGCUGCUCACGAGAGGCUGUGAGCAGGCAGUCGGCGCACAGGUUGAGCACCGGUCUCCCCUGGCAGGCGGCCACUGCUGAGAUCCUCCUGGAGAGAAAUCAGACUCCCAACAGGAGUGGAAAAUCACUGGCAUCCAGAGCUUCUGGAAGUCGAUUCUCAUUUGUGUUGAUUCCUGGGCUCUGUUCUUCCUGUUGCUGGCCCCCUGCUUACUGAGUGUUCUCUCGUGCGCUGACAAGGCUGCAGCUGCUGGAGCUGAGUGCUGGGACCUGGACCUCACUCCAUCAUGCCAGCUGUGCCCCUUGGGGUGGGCACACGGUGUCCAGAGACACUCAGACCCUCUCUCUGGUCAGACACCAAGCCCUUUCUUCUUUAGGUCAUUAAUUUAAGGAAGCCAUAAGCUUGUGCCUCCCCCAGUUCUUAAUAAACCAUGAGAUGAUUUGAUAUAUACAGAAUCACGUUUUAGAAAAGUAACCUUGACUUUCAAGUUUUCCGAGUUGCCCACCAUGCGGCCGGCUCUCCUGCAAAGCUGUCUAGCUUCCAGUGAAUUCCUGCCCGCACUUCAGUGCUCCCGGCCAUCGUGGGGAUGGGUGAUGUCCUCGCCCACUCAGGACACGGUCCCAGGACCAUUCUGUUUCACACAGUGGAUCAGGGGGCUCCUACGUGAGCUCUGCCAGCACUCCUGCAAAGCCCCCCGAUGGGUGGAGAGCAGGUGGGACCGCCGUGCCAGGCUGUGGAGGCCCCAGUGUGGGUCACGUCCUGGUCACCAGCACCAGCACUAGCCAGGGUGUCCCGACUGCCUGUGCUUCUCGUUUGCGGUAUUGGGGACACCUGUGUGAAUCACCAACCUGCCUCCAAGACGCCUGGGUGUCCAGCACCGAUGACUGUUGAUGAAGCCAGGAUGUUAAAAGCAAAGGCUUAGAUUUUCUGUGGGUGCUUUGUCGUCUCUCCUUCUAACAAGGUCAGUCUCUUCGGGGAGGGAGAAGGGGAGGGGUACGGGAGGAGAGGCCUCCUCGUCCUAGAGGAGAGAGUGACGGGCACCAUGGAUGCUCCUUAUCCUGAGCUGGAUCCAGCUGAGCGGACGGUGGGCAGCAGACAGCACCCGAGAGCCCUGGACCCUGCCCGGGGCCCCUGGAUUCUCUGUGACAGCUCAGAGGCUGUGUCUAGACUGUGCAGAAGUUCAGGUCACCCCUUUACCCGGCGGCCCUACAGCUGCUCCCGGGAGUCACUGUGAAACACUUGGGAUCAGGCGCCAAAAACUCAGGGCCAUGAGUCAAUGAGGGGACACUGCUUCAGCAGCGUGUUCCAGACGCUGCAAUAACACGUAUGUGUUACAAUUUUCAUUCCAGAAUCCUCACCAUCACGGAGCACGGCUGAUGAAAAUCAGCGUCUGCCUUCAAAACACUGAAGUCUAAAAGCUCCCAAAACUUCAAAUUGCAGUUUGAUAGCCAGUUUAUUACAAUAAAAGGGUCAGUGAGGUGUCAAGGCUGCUGCUCUGGUUCCGCCUUUCCAGUUUGCUCGCUGAGUGAGAUUUUAAAAGCUUCUCGCCGUGGGGCUUCCAGCUGUCAUGGAGGCGGGGGCACUGCCCUGGAGUGCACUGCGUGACCGGUGUGCCGGGUGGCUCCCCGCUCCACACGCAGGAAUCGGCGCACAGUCCCGGGCUUCCUAGAGCGGUGUUAGAGAUGCACUUAGCGGGUAACCCGCGUCCCCACGAAUGAACAGGUAACACCCCGUGCGAAAGGUAAUGGUGCCCACAGCUCAGCCACCUACACUCUGUGUCCACGGGCUGAGAAGAGUUGUCCCAGGUGCACAGGGACAGCGGAGCCAAGGGGACAAAUGGAAGACCUGCGGUGUGCUUGAAGAGGAGAGAGACCCUCACCCCACGCUUUCCCAGGUACAAGUCCGAGCUGUCAGGAUGUGUAGUGUCUGUGGAGGCAUCACAUGCCAGAUAGGAUAAGGUUGACACACUCAGUGACACACUCACUCUCUCUGUGUGUCAGCGGCGGUGCGGAGAAGCUAGCUGAUGCUGCCCCGGCCCUGGCACUAGGCCGCAGCAGUGUUGGCCUGCCACCAGUGCCCACGAGAAGCAAGCGCCCACGAGGUCUCCUUGCUCGUCACGACACCCCAAACAGAGUUCUCAGGUCCCAGAGGGAGGGCAGAGGAUGAGACGCACAUGCGUGACUGGCUCAGAUGGUUUUCUCUGAAAGUGUCCUGAAUGACUCUUCUAUGUCUACCAGGCACCUCGUGACCUUGUGCUUGAAAACGACGUCCCCGAGCGAGCAUGGGUCCCUUCUCAACCUUGGGGACGGGGCAUCGCUGCCUGCUAGCUUGAGCCUCCCCAUGGAAUCCUUGGAACAAGGCUGCUCCUCUGCGACGCCCCCACGUGGACAGUGUGGCCUCGGGCUCUGGUUCCCGGCAGAGGUGAUUUCUUGGUGCUGCCGUUUGUCUCCGCCUUGGCAGUACGAGCCACCUUCCUCUAACAGCAUGUUUCUGCUCAGAGCCCUGCAGAGCGGUCUUAGUCUCUGUCCCUGGCUCCCAGAGAGAUGACUCACGACACACAUGGAGCUAUUGAAAUUUUUAAAAUUACAGCAUACUUCUGAAUUUUAAUGAAUUGAAAUGCGAACAUUUAAGAUGAGGGCACACAGUAAUUUCUCCGUUUCAGCUAGCUUCCGGAAGCAGACGGGCGAGGCUGAUGACCCGAGGCGGGCCUUUGUGAAACUCUGCAUCUGCCGGGCUUAGCAUUGAGGUGAACUGUCGCCUUCAGAAUGAAAGCCGAGCACGUGAACGCGAGACCACGUGCCACCAAAAUGGGAGAGACCCACCUGCAGGAGCCCCCAGAAACAGAGCCCCCGAGAGGAUUCUGGGUGACCCUGUGCUCUCAGGAGUGCCGGAGAUUGCACUUCCUCUGCACAGUUUGUUAAAGCCUGAGUUGCAAAGGGAAAGAUGGAGACGGGAGACUCCGAGCAUGCAUGGUACUUGAGCACAUCUUGCCUCAGUUCCCGGGAGGCAGGGGAACUUGCUGCCUUCCCGUCCAGGGUCCUCAGACAGAAGGGGCACAGCUGUCUGGGCGUCCCACAGAUGGCUCUGCAGUUUCCCAAGGCCUGGCCUGGCCCACCAGCUCCCCCUCCCCCCAGCCCCAAAGCUCAUCCAGCGUCCUGGUCACCAGGGCAGGAGCCCUCACUUGUUCGCUGUGAGUUAAACAUUAAACUCCAUGCACCCGGAAGGCAGGGCGGGGCAGCUGGGGGCUGCUCUGCCCGCGUUCCUGGGAGGGCGGCCCACUCCGGGCACUUAGCAAACACUUGCUACAAGACUAAACACUACUGUACGCCACGGAAGCCGUCUACGCCCUUCCACGUGCUUCUCGAUGCCUCAAACGAGGAAAGCCCCCGAGAAACGCAGGCCAGUGCAUGCCAGGAGGGGACACGGAGCCCGGCGGAAGCUCGGGAGGAGCAGCAGCAAGGGCCCGAGGCUGGCUGGGGGCCCGGCCGCCUACCAUGAUCCCUGUGAGCAGACACACGCCUUUCCCGCAGUACGUGUUGGGCACCAUGUCGCCGUAGCCGAUGGACAGGAACGUGAUGGAGAUCAGCCACAUGGCUCCCAGGAAGUUGCUCGUGACGUCCUGUUGGUCGUGGUACCUGGAAAAGAGCAGAGAAAGCCACUCCUUUACCAUGGGAUUCGCUUUCCCCGGCUCCCGGGUUCCUGGCAGGUGUUGGAUCCGCAGGUGUCGGAUCCGCCCCAGGGCAGAGAAGCCUCAGGAGGCGCCCAGACGCUCACAGCAACCGGAAGGCAGCUGCAAGGUACGAAAGUGCUCCUGUCACUGGCCUGAGGGGCAACACGCGGCCCUCUGUGCCCACGCGCCUGGCUCCCCGGGGACCUCGCACAGGCACCACCUCUGCAGCUUGGGCGGGAGCAUGGACCCUGAGCUGGGUCUGCCCCUGGCAUCGGGCCCCACUGCUCCUUGGCCUUCAGCAAACACCAGCUGGGAGCCUCUUCUGCCCGCCCUCCCCCCGGGAGCCCCCGCACCCACUGCCCGUCCUUGGCCCCUCUGCGCAGCAUCCUGCCAGAGGACAGAAACUGGCCAUGGAGGCCCUGCCGGGCCGGGAGCUGCUGUCCUCCCUGUCAUGCACAAGGAACUCGUGGGUGCGGGUGGUCCCUGCUGUUCCGUGAGGUGUCUGAGAAGGUUUUAGAUCAGAAACAGAUGUCCUGUCUCAGUUUCACUAAGCCACGACCUCACGCCCCAGACAGCAGCAAGGCCAGGAACCGCUGCUCCCGGUGCACGUCCUGGGUGCGCACGGCCACGGCCACCUCUGGUCUCUGCGGCAAAGCAGGCCCAGCCCCCACUACUCUACAGAGGAGUCCUCGCCACCCCAUCUCGGGUGCCACGAGGCUGGACCGCCCUUGCUCGCCCUUUCCCACCCCCUCCAAGAUCUGAAAGAGCUACAGAGAAAGGGAGAGAUCCAUCUUCCAUCUGUGGGUUCACUCCCCACGUGGCCCGGGGGCUGGCGCUGGGCCAGGCUGAAGCCAUCCAUCCUGGUCUCAGGACUUGGGCUGUCACCUGCUGGCUGGGAGUGGAGCAGCCGGGACUUGAACCGGCGUCCACGGGGGAUCUGGCACUGCGGGCGGCAGCUUCACCCGCAGCACCUGGUGCCUCACAGCAAGGAGUCCUGGAGCGUGCGCUGGAACCCAUGCCUGGCACCCGAGCACUGGUUCCUCACCAGACAGAUGCAUAACCCGGGCUCAGAAGCCUCAGCAACAGCAACGCCAACAAAUUCUGAUCGGUAGCUGUGGGGCGAUGCAAACCCAGAGGUGUCGCCUCAACCCAGUUACCAUGGCUGAUAGCAAAAAGGGACGAAGUAGCGAAUGCUGGAGAAGCUGUAGAGAGGGGACCCCCACACUGCAGGUAGCUCCCCAACGAGUACGGUCAUCGGGGGAGCAGCACGGAGACCCCUCGCAGACCUCAAUGUGGGGCCCAGGGUCCCCGGAAAGAAAGGCAGCACAGCAGCGACACCUGCACUCCAUGUCCCGACAGCCGGGAGCCCCUUGAUGACAUGUGGCUAAGGAAAGCGAGGCACAUGUACACCAUGCCACACCGUGCAGCCACAAAACGGACGUAUCUCACCGCAGUGGACGCAGGGCCCUGGAGGACUGGGUUCUCACACGUGAAAGUGUAAAACCGGGCAGUGGUGGGGCCAGCGCUGUGGUGCAGCAGGUUAAUCCUCUGCUUGCACCAAUUCUAGUCUUGGCUGCUCCUCUUCCCAUCCAGCUCUCUGCUACGGCCUUAGAAAGCAGUUGAAGUUGGCCCAAAUCCUUGGGCCCCUGUACCCACGUGGAAGACCUGGAGGAAACUCCUGGCUUUGGAUCAGCUCAACUCCAGCCACUACAGCCAUCUGGGGAAUGAACCAGCAGAUGGAAGACCUUUCUCUGUCUCUCCCUCUACCUCUCAAAUAAAUAGAUACAAACUGGGCAUUGUAUCUGAAGGCAGA